rnacentral:tRNA from 1 species
UGUUCUAUGGCCGAACUGGUAAAGGCAUUGCCGAUCACAGGCAAGGGUGCGGGUUCGAGUCCCGCUGGAACGG